GACUCGCACAGGUCUAUUUCUUGUGCCCUGGACCAGGACCUCGGGUCGCUGGGAUGGAAAUCUCUCGCCGUUAAGAGUGCUCAACCACUACCCGAAAGGAUGAAGAUCGCUACUAAGCCCUGCGAUUUGGUUGUUU
rnacentral:ncRNA from 2 species